GUGUAACGAUCGGCCUUUUCAGUCUCCUACACAGCAGCACUACUCGACUUAUGACGAGGCCCACCUGAAGCCAAUCAUGCAGCACAUCGCCAAAAAUGUUGUGACUGUAAAUGACGGAAAACAAAGUUCCAGGCCGUCAAGAAUAAAUACUCGAGCAGCAAGCUGAUGAAGAUCAGCCUCCUCCCUCAGCUGAGGUCCUCCAUCAUCAAGAACAUGCGCUGCUCUGCUCAACAAUCCUUGAGGUGGAACUUCCACAUUUCAUCGGGACAUUUGAUUUGCACUUUAUAUUUUUAUCACU